GGCCUCGCCGGGCGGGUCUUCGCCAGGGCCGUUCUAGGCGUCAUAGUGCACCCCCCGUUCCAGGCGGGGCAAGGCCA
rnacentral:tRNA from 1 species